GAAGACACAAGCAGAGCAAGGAAGUAAGUAACUCCGCUUUGACGGGAGUUUUUGAGUAAGGUCUUCAGGCUAAGCAAGGAGUGAGAUUGGUCUGGUGCUGGUGGGGGAUCGUUAGAUGACGUAUUUGCUUUAUCGUAUUUCCUUUUUAUCGAUAAAGUCUUGAUGUGAAGUUACUUUGAAUAUGAAUCAAGUAAUAUACUCACGGUUGUGUGUCUCCAUACAUGUAACCGGUUCGCCUUUU